UCUGAGAGCUUGACUGGGGCUAGAGGUCAACUUCCAAAAUGAUUCACCCGCCUGGCUAUUGGCAGGAGGCCCCACUUUCUUGCCUCAUGGGCCUCUCCAUAUGCUACCGGAUGGAGUGUCCUCUUGACAUGGCAACUGGAUUUCCCCGGAGCAGCACUCUUAUAGCUGCCGCAGAAGCCUGAAACCUGGGCGAGUUUUGAGCUGGGAGAUAGAACGAGAUUCACACGACAUGCCGCGUGACCAGGUCACCAGAAAACUCCAUUUCUUCUGUGAGGGGUUUCAAAGAGAAUAACGACCUACUCAGAGAUUCAAAUGUGAUGCUUUCGGUGGAGCAUCAGCCAUCUGGAGGAUGUGAGAUACCAGCCAACAGAUUGAGGAUGAUGGAGGAAAGAGCCUGCAUGCAAGAAAGCAGUGAGGGAGGGCAAACAGAACAGUGGCAGCAACCACCUACCCCUGCACUCCUUGUUCCAGGAGAAGCAGCAGCUUCUGUGUGCAUAAGGCAGACAAGUUGGGUUUGCUGUUACCUGCAGCUGUAGGCAUUCCUGACUGAUAAAAGGGGCUCUGUGAAUGUGAAGAAUGUGUGAAGCACCAAAUAAGGGACCUCCAGAGAAAUGCUUACUUCAGUAGAAACUCUUUUCUCCUCUAGAGAAGUCCCAUGUUCUCCAAUGCAGGGCUUGGCAAGCUGGGCAAAUAGAAAUAGGUCGGCCCUCUGCCCUUUUUUGUAAAUAAAGUUUUAUUGGAACAUAGCCAUGCUCAUUUGUAUACAUAUUACCAAUAACUGCUUUUGCCAUAAAACAGCAGAAUUGAAUAGUUGCAACAAAAACUGUGACAGAGACUAUCUGACUUGCAGAGCCCAAAUGACCUGUCCAAAAACAUUUGAACUUAAUGGUAACUCAAGUUGUU
rnacentral:lncRNA from 1 species